GUGGGGAAUUUUGGACAAUGGGCGCAAGCCUGAUCCAGCAAUGCCGAGUGCAGGAAGAAGGCCUUCGGGUUGUAAACUGCUUUUGUACGGAACGAAACGGUCCGGGUUAAUACCCUGGGCUAAUGACGGUACCGUAAGAAUAAGCACCGGCUAACUACGUGCCAGCAGCCGCGGUAAUACGUAGGGUGCAAGCGUUAAUCGGAAUUACUGGGCGUAAAGCGUGCGCAGGCGGUUUUGUAAGACAGGCGUGAAAUCCCCGGGCUCAACCUGGGAAUUGCGCUUGUGACUGCAAGGCUGGAGUGCGGCAGAGGGGGAUGGAAUUCCGCGUGUAGCAGUGAAAUGCGUAGAUAUGCGGAGGAACACCGAUGGCGAAGGCAAUCCCCUGGGCCUGCACUGACGCUCAUGCACGAAAGCGUGGGGAGCAAACAGGAUUAGAUACCCUGGUAGUCC
rnacentral:rRNA from 1 species